GCCAAUUGAAUCUAGAUCUUGAUGAUUAGUGUUCCACUCAUUCUCUUUUCCCCUACUUUGAUGAUUCUACAGGUUAAAAGAGCUGCUCUUCAUGAUGAUUCUACAAGUUAAAAGAGCGAUUCACCAGAUAGCAUUUUGAUAAAAAUGCUUUAUCACCUGGCACAGAUGGAUCAUGGCUGAGAAUCCACUGUCUUCUGGGACAUCUGGUCAUGAAGAAAUUAUGAAAAAGAAAGAAACAGAGAAAGAGAAAAGAAAAAAGGAAGAAAGAAAGAGAAAAUGUGUAAGGAAAAGUAAAAGAAAUGAGGAAUCAAUGUCGAUUUCUUGUUACCAGAAUGUUAUGAUUGAGUUAAAAGCAUGGCUUUAAAUGUUGAGAUAGAAAUUACAACUUUUAAUUAAAACUCAAAUGCUUUCUCUACUCUUUGUCAUUAGAAGGACUGACCAAGAGCUAGAAACCAUGGUGAAAGUAGGUGAGGAAUGGAGGCUCUGACAGACUAUCAUUAAGAUGAUUGAAGCUUAUAGACAAAGAGUUGAAGGUACAUCUGCCUGCCACUUAUUAAAUAGUAAUUUGGGGUAAGUUACUUAAUUCUUCUGAGACUUGAAAGCUCAUUUGUAAGAUGGAGACAAGAAUGACUUCCUUAAGGAUGAAU
rnacentral:lncRNA from 1 species